GCAAGUCCGUCGGGAAAUCCAACGGCUCAACCGUUGGGCGUCCGGCGGAAACUGCGUGGCUUGGGACCGGAAGGCUCGAGGGGUACGUCCGGGGUAGGAGUGAAAUCCCGUAAUCCUGGACGGACCACCGAUGGCGAAAGCACCUCGAGAAGACGGAUCCGACAGUGAGGGACGAAAGCUGGGGUCUCGAACCGGAUUAGAUACCCGGGUAGUCCCAGCCGUAAACGAUGCCAGUUAGGUGUGGCAGAGGCUACGAGCCUCUGCUGUGCCGUAGGGAAGCCGAGAAACUGGCCGCCUGGGAAGUACGUCCGCAAGGAUGAAACUUAAAGGAAUUGGCGGGGGAGCACUACAACCGGAGGAGCCUGCGGUUUAAUUGGACUCAACGCCGGACAUCUCACCAGCUCCGACUACAGUGAUGACGGUCAGGUUGAUGACCUUACCACGACGCUGUAGAGAGGAGGUGCAUGGCCGCCGUCAGCUCGUACCGUGAGGCGUCCUGUUAAGUCAGGCAACGAGCGAGACCCGCACGCUUAAUUGCCAGCAUCAGGUUUCCUGGAUGGGUACAUUAAGCGGACUGCCGCUGCUAAAGCGGAGGAAGGAACGGGCAACGGUAGGUCAGUAUGCCCCGAAUGAGCUGGGCUACACGCGGGCUACAAUGGCCAGGACAAUGGGUUCCUACCUCGAGAGAGGACGGUAAUCUCCGAAACCUGGUCGUAGUUCGGAUUGCGGGCUGAAACUCGCCCGCAU
rnacentral:rRNA from 1 species